GUCCCUGGGGUGAAAAUGGUUAACACACUUGGCUGCUAACCAAAAGCUUGGUAGUUCGAGUCCACCCAGAGGCA
rnacentral:tRNA from 1 species